rnacentral:rRNA from 1 species
AUUGAACGCUGGCGGCAGGCUAACACAUGCAAGUCGAGCGGAGAUGAGGUGCUUGCACCUUAUCUUAGCGGCGGACGGGUGAGUAAUGCUUAGGAAUCUGCCUAUUAGUGGGGGACAACAUUCCGAAAGGAAUGCUAAUACCGCAUACGCCCUACGGGGGAAAGCAGGGGAUCUUCGGACCUUGCGCUAAUAGAUGAGCCUAAGUCGGAUUAGCUAGUUGGUGGGGUAAAGGCCUACCAAGGCGACGAUCUGUAGCGGGUCUGAGAGGAUGAUCCGCCACACUGGGACUGAGACACGGCCCAGACUCCUACGGGAGGCAGCAGUGGGGAAUAUUGGACAAUGGGCGGAAGCCUGAUCCAGCCAUGCCGCGUGUGUGAAGAAGGCCUUUUGGUAGUAAAGCACUUUAAGCGAGGAGGAGGCUACCUGGAUUAAUACUCUAGGAUAGUGGACGUUACUCGCAGAAUAAGCACCGGCUAACUCUGUGCCAGCAGCCGCAGUAAGAC